rnacentral:rRNA from 1 species
AUACGGAGGGUGCGAGCGUUAAUCGGAAUCACUGGGCGUAAAGCGCGCGCAGGCGGCUUGAUAAGUUGGAUGUGAAAGCCUACGGCUCAACCGUAGAACUGCAUCCAAAACUGUCAAGCUAGAGUCUGGGAGGGGAAGAUGGAAUUAGUUGUGUAGGGGUAAAAUCCGUAGAGAUAACUAGGAAUACCAAAAGCGAAGGCGAUCUUCUGGAACAGUACUGACGCUGAGGCGCGAAAGCGUGGGGAGCAAACAGGAUUAGAAACCCCGGUAGUCC